GGGGGGUGGAGGGCAGCCUGGUAGGCACCACAUGGUUCCCGAGAAAUCCGCCACAGUUUGGGAAAUACAGAAAAACAGGAAAUGCUCUGGGCAAAUAUCAAAAUGAGAUUUCCCGUAGUAGGAGGAUUUGAGGAUGGGUCCUGGCAGAGGGUGAAGGAUCAGCGGUGCCUGUGGCCCAGAGGGGGCUCCUGGGCAGACGCUCCUCUACCAGCCUGGGUGUGGAGGAACCCCUGGGCUCCACCAGGCCAGAACCUCAACAAGGACGGGGGAAAGCCAGUUAAGACACUGUCCUCCCACACUACCUGGAGUUUCAAGUCCUAUUGAGGCAAGAGGUUGAUUUCCUGUGUCCCGGGGACCCUGCCUCAGUCUUUGGAGAACUGGCUUCCGAGAGCCUCAUAAAUAUGCCUGGCCCUGGAUUUAUUACAUGACAGUGAUCCUGCUCAGCCAGCUGGUGAGAUGCAGAGUUCUGACCCCUUCUUUAACGCCCUCCUCUCCCUCA
rnacentral:lncRNA from 1 species